rnacentral:rRNA from 1 species
AUUGAACGCUAGCGGCAGGCCUAACACAUGCAAGUCGAGCGGAGCGGCGGACGGGUGAGUAAUGCCUAGGAAUCUGCCUGGUAGAGGGGGAUAACGUCCGGAAACGGGCGCUAAUACCGCAUACUAUCAGAUGAGCCUAGGUCGGAUUAGCUAGUUGGUGUGGUAAAUGCCUACCAAGGCGACGAUCCGUAACUGGUCUGUGAGGAUGAUCAGUCUCCCUUGAACUGAGUCACGGUCCAGACUCCUUCGGGCGGCAGCAGUGGGGAAUAUUGGGCAGUGGGCGAAAGCCUGAUCCAGCCAUGCCGCGUGUGUGAAGAAGGUCUUCGGAUUGUAAAGCACUUUAAGUUGGGAGGCGUUACCAACAGAAUAAGCACCGGCUAACUUCGUGCCAGCAGCCGCGGUAAUUC